rnacentral:rRNA from 1 species
GAUGAACGCUAGCGGCAGGCUUAACACAUGCAAGUCGAGGGGCAGCGUGAGAGUUAGCAAUAACCCUUGACGGCGACCGGCGCAAGGGUGCGUAACGCGUGAGCAACUUGCCCUUAUCAGGGGGAUAACCGGUGGAAACGCCGACUAAUACCCCAUGGCAUCACAAUGAGGCAUCUUUUUGUGAUUAAAGAAUUUCGGAUAAGGAUAGGCUCGCGUGACAUUAGCUAGACGGCGGGGUAACGGCCCACCGUGGCUACGAUGUCUAGGGGUUCUGAGAGGAAGGUCCCCCACACUGGAACUGAGACACGGUCCAG